rnacentral:rRNA from 1 species
CCUACGGGAGGCAGCAGUGGGGAAUUUUGGACAAUGGGCGCAAGCCUGAUCCAGCAAUGCCGCGUGAGUGAAGAAGGCCUUCGGGUUGUAAAGCUCUUUUGUCAGGGAAGAAACGGGAUUGGAUAAUACCUAGUCCUAAUGACGGUACCUGAAGAAUAAGCACCGGCUAACUACGUGCCAGCAGCCGCGGUAAUACGUAGGGUGCAAGCGUUAAUCGGAAUUACUGGGCGUAAAGCGUGCGCAGGCGGUUUUGUAAGUCUGUCGUGAAAGCCCCGGGCUCAACCUGGGAAUUGCGAUGGAGACUGCAAGGCUUGAAUCUGGCAGAGGGGGGUAGAAUUCCACGUGUAGCAGUGAAAUGCGUAGAGAUGUGGAGGAACACCGAUGGCGAAGGCAGCCCCCUGGGUCAAGAUUGACGCUCAUGCACGAAAGCGUGGGGAGCAAACAGGAUUAGAUACCCUGGUAGUCCACGCCCUAAACGAUGUCUACUAGUUGUCGGGUUUUAAUUAACUUGGUAACGCAGCUAACGCGUGAAGUAGACCGCCUGGGGAAGUCGGUCGCAAGNUUAAAACUCAAAUGAAAUUGACGGCUUGGAGACGUGACGACGGACGACGACGAGGGAGGAGG